rnacentral:rRNA from 1 species
UUGCGCGCGAGCCAAUGGUACUCAGUUGAAACACCAAAGGCGCAAAAAACAUAACUUGAAACUGUGCGGGAUUACGGGCGAGACUCUCUGCUCGUCCCUCCAUCCCCGGGUGUUAUACCAGGCAUGCCGGGGGCCUCGCGCCCUCGGUGCCAUAACAUACCGCGAGUGUGCAGGAUGUGACCCGAAAGAUGGUGAACUAUGCCUGAUCAGGUUGAAGUCAGGGGAAACCCUGAUGGAGGACCGAAGCAGUUCUGACGUGCAAAUCGAUUGUCAGAAUUGGGCAUAGGGGCGAAAGACCAAUCGAACCAUCUAGUAGCUGUUUUCCUUCCGAA